AGACAGCUCAACGGAGAAGAUCUGCAAGGGCUGUCUGUAAAAGAUCUGAGGAAGCUAGAAGAUUUACUUAGCACAAGCUUGCAUCGCAUUUCAAAAGCAAAGGUUAAAGUAUUUGAGCAGGAGAUCAAUAUUCUAAAGAAAAAGGAAGACGAACUCAAGGAAGAAAACCAGAGGCUAACGAAGG